rnacentral:snRNA from 1 species
GUGCUCAACUUCGGCAGCACAUGGAACGAUACAGAGAUGAUUAGCAUUGCCCCUUGUGCAAAGAUGACAUGCAAAUUCGUGAAGCAUUCCAUAUUUUU